CAUGCAAGUCGAACGAUGAACCACUUCGGUGGGGAUUAGUGGCGAACGGGUGAGUAACACGUGGGCAAUCUGCCCUUCACUCUGGGACAAGCCCUGGAAACGGGGUCUAAUACCGGAUAAUACUCCUGCCUGCAUGGGCGGGGGUUGAAAGCUCCGGCGGUGAAGGAUGAGCCCGCGGCCUAUCAGCUUGUUGGUGGGGUAAUGGCCUACCAAGGCGACGACGGGUAGCCGGCCUGAGAGGGCGACCGGCCACACUGGGACUGAGACCGGCUCGGCCCCGGCGAGCUG
rnacentral:ncRNA from 1 species